CUUGCCCUCUUCAUAGAACUGGUUUGGAUCUCCCCCCCUCAACAGACUUCACAGCCUCUUUAGAGAAGCUAAGAGAUGACCCGGAACUGUUUAAUGAGGCGCCAAGCAAAGGUACCUGAUACAUAUCCCAAAGGUGCAUCAGUACUUAUCAAGAAACAUCACACAAUCCAUUCAAUCAUUUUAAGUAUCAUUUCUAGACUUU
rnacentral:lncRNA from 1 species